rnacentral:RNase_P_RNA from 1 species
GAGUGGGCCAGGCGAUCGCGCGCCGCGGUUGCGGCGUGAGGAAAGUCCGGGCUCCAAAGGGCAAGAUGCCAGCUAACGGCUGGGCGGGGCAACCCGACGGAAAGUGCCACAGAAAAGUAAACUCCCCCGCGCAUGCGGGAGAAAAGCUGAAACGGUGCGGUAAGAGCGCACCAGCGCGUUGGCAACAACGUGGCUUGGAAAACCCCAUCUGGAGCAAGCGCAAAUAGGAACGCGACACGGCCGCCCUUCCGUGCGUUCGGGUUGCGUGCUUGAGACGUGCGGCGACGCACGUUCGAGAUAAAUGGUCGUCCAACGACAGAACCCGGCUUAUCGACUCACUCGC